CAUGCAGUCGACGAGAACGGAUUAUAGCUUGCUAUAAUUGUCAGCUAAGUGGCGCACGGGUGAGUAAUGUAUAGGUAAUAUGCCUCUUACUAAGGGAUAACAAUUGGAAACGAUUGCUAAUACCUUAUAUUCCUUUUUAUCAAAAGAUAAAAAGGGAAAGAUUUAUUGGUAAGAGAUUAGCCUGUAUUGUAUCAGUUAGUUGGUGGGGUAAUGGCCUACCAAGACAAUGACGCAUAACUGGUUUGAGAGGAUGAUCAGUCACACUGGAACUGAGACACGGUCCAGACUCCUACGGGAGGCAGCAGUGGGGAAUAUUGCACAAUGGACGAAAGUCUGAUGCAGCAACGCCGCGUGGAGGAUGACACAUUUCGGUGCGUAAACUCCUUUUAUAUAAGAAGAUAAUGACGGUAUUAUAUGAAUAAGCACCGGCUAACUCCGUGCCAGCAGCCGCGGUAAUACGGAGGGUGCAAGCGUUACUCGGAAUCACUGGGCGUAAAGAGCGUGUAGGCGGAUUGAUAAGUUUGAAGUGAAAUCCUAUAGCUUAACUAUAGAACUGCUUUGAAAACUGUUAAUCUAGAAUGUGGGAGAGGUAGAUGGAAUUUCUGGUGUAGGGGUAAAAUCCGUAGAGAUCAGAAGGAAUACCGAUUGCGAAGGCGAUCUACUGGAACAAUAUUGACGCUGAGACGCGAAAGCGUGGGGAGCAAACAGGAUUAGAUACCCUGGUAGUCCACGCCCUAAACGAUGUACACUAGUUGUUGUGAGGCUCGACCUUGCAGUAAUGCAGUUAACACAUUAAGUGUACCGCCUGGGGAGUACGGUCGCAAGAUUAAAACUCAAAGGAAUUGACGG
rnacentral:rRNA from 1 species